GGCGCCGUGGCUUAGUUGGUUAGAGCGCCUGUCUAGUAAACAGGAUAUCGUGAGUUCGAAUCUCGCCGGUGCCU
rnacentral:tRNA from 1 species